UACGUAGGUGGCAAGCGUUGUCCGGAUUUACUGGGCGUAAAGGGCGUGCAGGCGGUCUGUUAAGUGCAGGGUGAAAGCUCCCGGCUCAACUGGGAGAGGUCCUUGCAUACUGGCGGACUUGAGGGGGGUAGAGGAAAGUGGAAUUCCCGGUGUAGUGGUGAUAUGCGUAGAUAUCGGGAGGAACACCUGUGGCGAAGGCGGCUUUCUGGGCCCUACCUGACGCUGAGACGCGAAAGCGUGGGGAGCGACCGG
rnacentral:rRNA from 1 species